UGGUAAGAUUAUCUUUGCAUGAAGAAUUAGAAAAAACGUGCUGAUAAACUCAAAGAAAACCCUAACCUGUUUUAAGAACAGAGCAGCAGGACUGUCCACCCCCUGCCUCAGGAACACCACUGCUGCAGAGGGAGGAGAGCUGCGCGACCCAAGGAAAGCGAGGGGCACGCGGGGAGCAGCACCGCCAGCCUUCACCCAGGCGCUGCCUCCGUGUCCGGACGCGGAGGGACCUUCCGCGCGCGCAGGCUUCGGCAAGACAAACCCUAGUGAGGGAGGGAGCAGAGGCCAAGCUGAUUCACGUGAGACACAGAACCGCCAAUGCAACUUUAUUUUGUAUUUCAUGCAGGCUGCAUCCUCCCCCUGUUUUACAGCGUUAAAGAGCAGAGAUAACGRGUGACGCGGGUAAGGCUCACUCUUGUCAGGCAGAGCAGCGCUCUGGUUCGGUCACRUGUUACCAGGCAAAUAAAGUAAAUGACAGGGAAUAAAUCCAGAAAUCAAUUUACCAGGGAUAYUAUUGCACAAGGCAGCUCCAUUUUAAGCUCCUCAGGGGAUCAAAUGAGUUGAUUACUCACAAGAAAGAGUAUUGGGAGACAACCGUGCGGAAAGUGUGAUUUGUGGGAAUGUAUUUUCAAAUUAAAAGAAAGGUGCGCUUGAAUCCCCCAGGCCGGCUCUCCCCAGCGUGGUUAUUUAUCCAACAGCUGAACUGGGCCSCUGGGGAGCCCUAAGGGAGCAGCCUGCUUGAUUUAUACGUGCAAACCUCGGCAGCAAUGCAACACUUCAUGACUUUCUAAGGUUCCUGGUGCUGGUGUUGCAACACGUCUCGUGCACACAGGACACCUGCGGCGUGAGAAACGGCCUCCCAGCCGGGGCUGAACAGAAGACAAAAGCUACCAAAGAAUGAAAUAUGGCCUAACAUGGCAAAUACGUAGUAGUGAAUUUCCUCUUGCUCAGCUGAGCUGGAAUUCAAGAAUUCAAUCCUGUUCAGAAACCUUGGGUUUGGGUCAAGGUAGYAAGGCUUCCUGCAUAUUUCCAGGUAACAUCAGAUCACCCUCACCUCAGGCGUCAACACUCCUUCUUGCCACACUUGUAUUUGAGCAUGGAGAAAAAAUGAGCCGUAGUCAGAAGAUGAUGUUUGACUUAAUGGCUAAAACACAUCUGUGGGAASCAGAAGGCUGUGAUGCAUCUGCUUGGAGCCAAGCGUAUCAAAAGGGCAGAUACAACCUUCAGCAUCUGAUUAUAUUUUGGCUUCCUGGAAUAACAUCUUCCAAUGCAGGAAAAAGAUUUUUAGUCUUAGGUUUCAGUACUAGAUGCAAAAUGGUACAAAAUUUUUUUCAGUGGUGCAUGUGA
rnacentral:lncRNA from 1 species